AAUGAACGCUGGCGGCAUGCCUUACACAUGCAAGUCGAACGGCAGCAUGACCUAGCUUGCUAGGUUGAUGGCGAGUGGCGAACGGGUGAGUAAUGCAUCGGAACGUGCCUUUUAGUGGGGGAUAACGUAGCGAAAGUUACGCUAAUACCGCAUAUUCUCUGAGGAGGAAAGCAGGGGGCCUUCGGGCCUUGCGCUAGAAGAGCGGCCGAUGUCGGAUUAGCUAGUUGGUGAGGUAAAGGCUCACCAAGGCCACGAUCCGUAGCGGGUCUGAGAGGAUGAUCCGCCACACUGGGACUGAGACACGGCCCAGACUCCUACGGGAGGCAGCAGUGGGGAAUGUUGGACAAUGGGCGCAAGCCUGAUCCAGCCAUGCCGCGUGAGUGAAGAAGGCCUUCGGGUUGUAAAGCUCUUUCGGCUGGGAAGAAAUCGCACUCUCUAAUACAGGGUGUGGAUGACGGUACCAGCAUAAGAAGCACCGGCUAACUACGUG
rnacentral:rRNA from 1 species